ACGGGGCCCGGCACAAGCGGUGGAGCAUGCGGUUUAAUUCGAAGCAACGCGAAGAACCUUACCAGGCCUUGACAUGCAGAGAACUUUCCAGAGAUGGAUUGGUGCCUUCGGGAACUCUGACACAGGUGCUGCAUGGCUGUCGUCAGCUCGUGUCGUGAGAUGUUGGGUUAAGUCCCGUAACGAGCGCAACCCUUGUCCUUAGUUACCAGCACGUUAUGGUGGGCACUCUAAGGAGACUGCCGGUGACAAACCGGAGGAAGGUGGGGAUGACGUCAAGUCAUCGUGGCCCUUACGGCCUGGGCUACACACGUGCUACAAUGGUCGGUACAAAGGGUUGCCAAGCCGCGAGGUGGAGCUAAUCCCAUAAAACCGAUCGUAGUCCGGAUCGCAGUCUGCAACUCGACUGCGUGAAGUCGGAAUCGCUAGUAAUCGUGAAUCAGAAUGUCACGGUGAAUACGUUCCCGGGCCUU
rnacentral:rRNA from 1 species